rnacentral:rRNA from 1 species
AGUGAACGCUGGCGGUAGGCCUAACACAUGCAAGUCGAACGGCAGCACAGUAAGAGCUUGCUCUUACGGGUGGCGAGUGGCGGACGGGUGAGGAAUACAUCGGAAUCUACUUUUUCGUGGGGGAUAACGUAGGGAAACUUACGCUAAUACCGCAUACGACCUACGGGUGAAAGCAGGGGAUCUUCGGACCUUGCGCGAUUGAAUGAGCCGAUGUCGGAUUAGCUAGUUGGCGGGGUAAAGGCCCACCAAGGCGACGAUCCGUAGCUGGUCUGAGAGGAUGAUCAGCCACACUGGAACUGAGACACGGUCCAGACUCCUACGGGAGGCAGCAGUGGGGAAUAUUGGACAAUGGGCGCAAGCCUGAUCCAGCCAUACCGCGUGGGUGAAGAAGGCCUUCGGGUUGUAAAGCCCUUUUGUUGGGAAAGAAAAGCAGGGUUAAUACCCCGCUGUUCUGACGGUACCCAAAGAAUAAGCACCGGCUAACUUCGUG